AGAGCCCAUUUAGCAACAAUCGCCAAUAAAUUUGUCAACAUGAGUAGACUCUAUUGAAGACCACGCUUAUUAAGGCUGUAGCAAAAAAAGGCAAAUAAAGCUCUACAAAGUUUACACUCUUGUCUUUUACUGCAACUCGUUAAGAGACGAAAGUGGGGUAAGAGGUGAUGAAAUAAGUAGAAAUGUUUACCUAAAGUAAAUGUUAAAGGUGUAAAAUUUCUCAGAUCUUGACAAGAUUUGCAAAUGUAGAGGCACUCCACACAUGAGCAUACCUAGAAAACCAUUGGACAAAGCAGAAUAGCAAUGCUUGGCUGCACGCUGAUACUAGAUACCCUCUUGAGCCUUGGUCGAUGACACUAUCGAAUUUUGCAGAUCUUCUAAAAAAAAAAUAGAACAAAAUCCAUUGCAAGGGGAGGAAUACUUAAUAUUUCGAAUAUCUACAGCUUUUGAACAUUCUUCUAGGUCGCUGGCGUAUGUUACAAGAAGAGUGAAAUGGCUGGUACAGCCCAAAGAAGGUGGGACGAAGUGAAAGGAUAUCACUUCAGGACUCCAGGCGAUCUAUAAUGAUGACAAUUUUGAUGUUUUUGUGAAGGCACCUGAUUUGAGACCGCUGGAUGAGCAAGUUUGAGGAAGUUUAUAAACAUAACAACCUUAAAAAUAUAAAUAUUGUUUAAACUUGUAACUGGUACAAAAAUUUACAUAAA